rnacentral:rRNA from 1 species
CCUACGGGCGGCAGCAGUGAGGAAUAUUGGUCAAUGGACGAGAGUCUGAACCAGCCAAGUAGCGUGAAGGAUGACUGCCCUAUGGGUUGUAAACUUCUUUUAUAAAGGAAUAAAACGAGGCACGUGUGCCUUUUUGCAUGUACUUUAUGAAUAAGGAUCGGCUAACUCCGUGCCAGCAGCCGCGGUAAUACGGAGGAUCCGAGCGUUAUCCGGAUUUAUUGGGUUUAAAGGGAGCGUAGAUGGGUUGUUAAGUCAGUUGUGAAAGUUUGCGGCUCAACCGUAAAAUUGCAAUUGAUACUGGCAGUCGUGAGUACAGUUGAGGUAAGCGGAAUGCGUGGUGUAGCGGUGAAAUGCUUAGAUAUCACGAAGAACCCCGAUGGCGAAGGCAGCUUACUAAACUGUGACUGACAUUGAUGCUCGAAAGUGUGGGUAUCAAACAGGAUUAGAUACCCUUGUAGUC